UACGAAGGGGGCUAGCGUUGUUCGGAAUUACUGGGCGUAAAGCGCGCGCAGGCGGCUCUUCAAGUCAGGGGUGAAAGCCCAGAGCUCAACUCUGGAACUGCCUUUGAGACUGUAGAACUUGAGUACGGGAGAGGUGAGUGGAAUUCCCAGUGUAGAGGUGAAAUUCGUAGAUAUCGGGAGGAACACCAAUUGCGAAGGCAGCUCGCUGGGACGUCACUGACGCUGAGACGCGAAAGCGUGGGGAGCAAACAGG
rnacentral:rRNA from 1 species